AAUCAACGCUGGCGGCGUGCCUCAGACAUGCAAGUCGAACGAUUAAAGCUCUCUUCGGAGAGUGCAUAGAGUGGCGCACGGGUGAGUAACACGUAAGUAAUCUACCUUCGAGUGGGGAAUAACAGUCGGAAACGACUGCUAAUACCGCAUAAUGCAGCGGCAUCGCAAGAUGACAGUUGUUAAAGGAGCAAUUCGCUUGAAGAGGAGCUUGCGGCAGAUUAGCUAGUUGGUAAGGUAAUGGCUUACCAAGGCUACGAUCUGUAACCGGUCUAAGAGGACGGUCGGUCACACUGACACUGAAUAACGAGUCAGACUCCUACGGGAGGCAGCAGUCGGGAAGUUUUGGGUCGAAGUGGGCGAAAGGCCUGACCCAGCAACGCCGCGUGAAGGAUGAAGUAUUU
rnacentral:rRNA from 1 species